rnacentral:tRNA from 1 species
GCCCUUGUAGCUCAGUCGGUAGAGCUUCCGGUUGAAGCCCGGAGAGCACAGGUUCGAUUCCUGUCGAGGGCA